rnacentral:rRNA from 1 species
UAGGGAAUCUUCGGCAAUGGGGGGAACCCUGACCGAGCAACGCCGCGUGAGUGAAGAAGGUUUUCGGAUCGUAAAGCUCUGUUGUUAAGGAAGAACGAGUGUGAGAAUGGAAAGUUCAUGCUGUGACGGUACUUAACCAGAAAGGGACGGCUAACUACGUGCCAGCAGCCGCGGUAAUACUUAGGUCCCGAGCGUUGUCCGGAUUUAUUGGGCGUAAAGCGAGCGCAGGCGGUUAGAAAAGUCUGAAGUGAAAGGCAGUGGCUCAACCAUUGUAAGCUUUGGAAGCUGUUUAAGUUGAGUACAGAAGGGGAGAGUGGAAGUCCAUGUGUAGAGAUGAAAUGCGGAGAUAUAUGGAGGAACACCGGUGGCGAGAGCGGCUCUCUGGUCUGUAACUGACGCUGAGGCUCGAAAGCGUGGGGAGCGAACAGG